GUGGGGAAUAUUGGACAAUGGGCGAAAGCCUGAUCCAGCCAUGCCGCGUGUGUGAAGAAGGUCUUCGGAUUGUAAAGCACUUUAAGUUGGGAGGAAGGGCAGUAAGUUAAUACCUUGCUGUUUUGACGUUACCGACAGAAUAAGCCCCGGCUAACUUCGUGCCAGCAGCCGCGGUAAUACGAAGGGGGCGAGCGUUAUUCGGAAUCACUGGGCGUAAAGCGUGCGUAGGCGGUUCUGUAAGUUAGGAGUGAAAGCCGAGGGCUCAACCUUGGAAUUGCUGUUAAAACUGCAAGGCUCGAAUCUCGGAGAGGAUAGCAGAAUUUCCAGUGUAGCAGUGAAAUGCGUAGAUAUUGGAAGGAACACCAGUGGCGUAAGCGGCUAUCUGGACGAGUAUUGACGCUGAGGCACGAAAGCGUGGGGAGCAAACAGGAUUAGAUACCCCGGUAGUCC
rnacentral:rRNA from 1 species